GAUAGCCGUAUGAGGGAAAACCUCACGUACGGUUAGACGAGGGGCUUCUGGCACACCAGCCAUGGCCUGGCUAGUGAGGCACUCCCAAAGGAAACGGGGAGCAAACUGAUAGGCCUGCCUAAAGUUAUGUGCCAGGGUCUACUCUAC
rnacentral:ncRNA from 1 species